GGAAGAACGGCGGAUAGGAGGUGGAGGAGGAAGAACGGCGGAAUCCAGCUGCCUUGCUGUGCACUACCCCAUGAGAAGCCCACAUAGUAAGGAACUUAGAGCCAACAGCCUGCAAUAAACUGAAUCCUGCCAACAGCCGUGUGUGUGAGCCUAGCAGCAGAUCCACUUCGGUGGAGGUUAAAGAGGACCCCAGCCACACUUGAUAUCUUGAUUGUGGCCUUGUGAGAGACUUUGAGCCACAGAAUCCAGUUAAACUGUGCCUGGACUCGUGAUGCAAAGAGAUUGUGAGACAGUAAAAAUGUUGAUUUAAGCCACAAAA